UACGAAGGGGGCUAGCGUUGCUCGGAAUUACUGGGCGUAAAGCGCACGUAGGCGGCUUCUUAAGUCGGUGGUGAAAUCCUGGAGCUCAACUCCAGAACUGCCUUCGAUACUGGGAGCUCGAGUCCGGGAGAGGUGAGUGGAACUGCGAGUGUAGAGGUGAAAUUCGUAGAUAUUCGCAAGAACACCAGUGGCGAAGGCGGCUCACUGGCCCGGUACUGACGCUGAGGUGCGAAAGCGUGGGAGCAAACAGGG
rnacentral:rRNA from 1 species